CGCGGCCUAUCAGCUUGUUGGUGGGGUAGUGGCCUACCAAGGCGACGACGGGUAGCCGGCCUGAGAGGGCGACCGGCCACACUGGGACUGAGACACGGCCCAGACUCCUACGGGAGGCAGCAGUGGGGAAUAUUGCGCAAUGGGCGAAAGCCUGACGCAGCGACGCCGCGUGAGGGAUGACGGCCUUCGGGUUGUAAACCUCUUUCAGCUCCGACGAAGCGAAAGUGACGGUAGGAGCAGAAGAAGCACCGGCCAACUACGUGCCAGCAGCCGCGGUAAUACGUAGGGUGCAAGCGUUGUCCGGAAUUAUUGGGCGUAAAGAGCUCGUAGGCGGUUUGUCGCGUCGGCUGUGAAAACUCAGGGCUCAACCCUGAGCCUGCAGUCGAUACGGGCAGACUAGGGUAUGGCAGGGGAGACUGGAAUUCCUGGUGUAGCGGUGAAAUGCGCAGAUAUCAGGAGGAACACCGGUGGCGAAGGCGGGUCUCUGGACCAUAACUGACGCUGAGGAGCGAAAGCGUGGGGAGCGAACAGGAUUAGAUACCCUGGUAGUCCACGCCGUAAACGUUGGGCGCUAGGUGUGGGGUCCCUUCCACGGGCUCCGUGCCGCAGCUAACGCAUUAAGCGCCCCGCCUGGGGAGUACGGA
rnacentral:rRNA from 1 species